GAAAAAUCACAGCCGGCAACCCUUCGCUCCCUGACCUCAUCUCCACAAAGCUCGGCCCCUAAUUGCCUCCGGCUUCCACCGCAGCCGCCCGGGCAGGAACCACCUGUGAACCGACACCUGUUCACCGAUUCUGCAAAUUAUGUACCAGACCUCGUUCCUGCCCUGGGAGGAUGACAGUGAACUGGAUGCACGAAGUCCUUGCCGGCAUGAAGCCCGCAUUCUGGAGGGAGUGCUAGGGCGAUGGGUCUCAGCACUUUUUAUUUUAUGAAUAAGUGACUCUUUAUGCAGAUACGUCCAUUUCCACCCCCCGUAAAGACUGUGCCAGACUGAAAGCCAGAGGCCCCCAGUGUGAUCCCAACGACAGAGGUGUAUGUGGGAAUGGGAGCCCUAACAAGGUGGUGAAAUGGUAUGGAGGAAGAUCCAGAAGAUGAUGGAAGUCUGGAGAGGUCUGGUCAGCAUUGAGUGCUGCCCUGUCUGCUGCUUCAGGAAGAGGAGGUGAGAAGCUGCACAGCACUUUUGCCACCUCAUGAGCCAGGAGGUCGAGAGCAGGAAUCCAGGCCUGCCAAGGAAAUGGAGCUCCCAGUUCUUUACAGGAUUUUUUCCUGGGAAGCUGAAGUGCUUUAAAAAAUACUCAAUCAUCACUAUCAGCUUUUCCCAAAAUUCAAUAGGAGCUUUGAUCUACGCUCACGUUUGUGGUAGACACACUCGAGAAGUGGCCCCCGUGACUCCCUUCCCCAGUCCUGGAGUUCACACCCUCGAGUGUGGGAAGACCUGGGACUUCUUCUAACCAACCGACCACCACACAGAUGGCCAGAUGUGCAAGGUUACAGCCACAUAAGACUUUAGCAUCAGUUUGGCUGGAGUCUCGCUCUCUCUGCCUUGCUGGCUUUGAGGACGCAAGUGAUCCUCUUGGAUAACCCCGUGUGGCAGGAACUGGAGGGUGCCUCUGGGGCAGAAGGGGGGCCCGGCUAACAGCCAGUGAGAAACUGAAGUCUUCAGUCAAAUGCUUGCAAGAAACUGAAUUCUUCCCACAACCGGGGUAGGCUUGGAAAUGAUCCUCCUGCAGGCAAACCUCAGAUGAGAACACAGCCCGUCCGACACCCAGAUUCCUGCCUGGCUGAGACUCUAAACAGAGAAUCCAUCUAAGCUGUCCCUGGACUCUAUUUCUUAUUGACACAUGAAAAAGCUCAUGGGAGACUGUGUUUCUAAAAUUGGAACAGAAUAACCAUACCAAGUACUGGCAAGGAUGUGGAUCAAGGGCAACGAUCAAGGGCAACGCUCACACACCGCUUGGGGAGACGCAAAAGUGUACAGCCCCUCUGGGAAACAGGGCUACCGUUUCUUAAAGGUUAAACAUUAAAGCAACAGUGAGAUACCCCUCUACUCUUAUUAAAAUGGCCCAAAUCUGAGACAAUGACAGCAUCACAGCUGGCAAGGGUGUGGAGCAACAGGAACUCUCGUUCGCUGGUGGUGGGAAUGCAAAAUGUGCAGCUACUUUGGAAGACAGUUUUUGGUGUUUUUUACAAACUUAACAUAAUCUUAACAUAGGAUCCGGCACCCACGGUAUUUACCUUGGUAUUUACCCAAAUGAGCUGAAAAUGUGUCCACACAAAAACCUGCACACAAAUGUUUAGAGCAGAUUUAUUCAUAAUUGCUCAAACUUGGGAGCAACCAACGCACCCUCCAGUAGGUGAAUGAAUAAAUAAACUCUGGUACAUUGAAA
ensembl:lncRNA